UUUCAGCUGUUUGUGAGCCACACAAGCCUUCUCUAAUAUGGAGGAAAGCUGGCACAGUGCUCCUUGUGAGGUUUGUAGCACCAACAUCAUAAAACUUACAGCAAAACUGAAGACAGCACACUGAAGCUGACUAACAAACCUACUAAAUUUGAGAAAAUUAUUAGUUUACUAUAAAAGAUGUGGUCGGUGGAAAUUUUUGUUUCAAGAUUUCAUAAAUCAUGCAAUUAACAGUGCUCAGAUGUCAUUUCAGACCUCUGAAACGUCUCAUCGCCAUUCAAAAACUGCUGCACCUACUGGAAAAAUUCAAAUAGUGUGACCGGCAGAAGGCCUUGGUGAUCAUCUGUGUGAAUUUUUGUGUGCCUACCAUGAAUUGUCUAGAAGCAAUGAUGAGAACAUUUUAGCUGUCUGAAGCCGAAAAUCUCAGUUUCUUUAACAUGGUUUCAAUAAGACAGAGGCUGUGUCUCAAUUCAGGGUCUGCAUCCUACGUCGGCCGGAUUCGUCGGCCGGUUACGUCACUGCACCGCGACUAGGCCUGUCCCAAUUCGAAGACUCCUUCAAAUGCGGUCGACGAAUGCGGCCUUCUUUUCGUCUGAAUGAAGGAUGGGUCGGGUGUAUCCUUCAACAGGUAGCAUUUCCCAAGAUGCCUUGCGGGCCGGCCAGCAGAAAAACUUAAAAACAAUGGCGGACAGUGAAGCGGGAGCUGUCGGAGAGGAUUGCGCAUAUAAAUGAACAAAAGAGAAAACCAGGGAAUUUCUUAAGCUUAGGGCGGAGAUGGACCACAUGAUCACCGGAGCAAAGUAUUCGGCGGCUGUGGCAUGGAGACUAUUCUGGAGAAAAUGGGCAUCCAGGGGAAGGUGCCAGCGAUGACCAGCUUCUGGAUCUGAUCAGGGAGGACAUGAAGCUGCAGAUGGAGGCAGAGCAGCAGAGGGCACAGGAGAGAAGGAAUAACUUUGACAGCUUUUUACUUUGCUAGAAAAAAAUGGUUAAUAAAGAUUAAACAUGUACAUAUAAAAGAAAUAUCUAAAUAAAAUCAGUUCUGCAUUAAA